UUCCCUGGCAGUCCAGUGGUUAAGAUUCUGCACUUCCAAUGCAGGGGGCCUGGGUUCAAUCCCUGGCUGGGAAC
rfam:TPA: Bos taurus chromosome 15, whole genome shotgun sequence.